GAUGAAGAACGCAGCGAAAUGCGAUACGUAAUGUGAAUUGCAGAAUUCAGUGAAUCAUCGAGUCUUUGAACGCACAUUGCGCCCCCUGGUAUUCCGGGGGGCAUGCCUGUCCGAGCGUCAUUGCUGCCCUCAAGCACGGCUUGUGUGUUGGGCCUCCGUCCUCCUCCCGGGGGACGGGCCCGAAAGGCAGCGGCGGCACCGCGUCCGGUCCUCGAGCGUAUGGGGCUUCGUCACCCGCUCUUGUAGGCCCGGCCGGCGCUUGCCGACACAUCAAUCUUUUUUCCAGGUUGACCUCGGAUCAGGUAGGGAUACCCGCUGAACUUAAGCAUAUCAAUAAGCGGGA
rnacentral:misc_RNA from 1 species